AGAAAGCAGAUCGCAUGAUCAGCUUUUAAAAGGCGGCGUAAGCUGUCGCUAUGGGAUGGCCCCGCGGUGCAUUAGCUAGUUGGUAAGGUAAAGGCUUACCAAGGCGAUGAUGCAUAGCCGAGUUGAGAGACUGAUCGGCCACAUUGGGACUGAGACACGGCCCAAACUCCUACGGGAGGCAGCAGUAGGGAAUCUUCCACAAUGGACGCAAGUCUGAUGGAGCAACGCCGCGUGAGUGAAGAAGGUUUUCGGAUCGUAAAGCUCUGUUGUUGGUGAAGAAGGAUAGAGGUAGUAACUGGCCUUUAUUUGACGGUAAUCAACCAGAAAGUCACGGCUAACUACGUGCCAGCAGCCGCGGUAAUACGUAGGUGGCAAGCGUUGUCCGGAUUUAUUGGGCGUAAAGCGAGCGCAGGCGGAAAAAUAAGUCUGAUGUGAAAGCCCUCGGCUUAACCGAGGAACUGCAUCGGAAACUGUUUUUCUUGAGUGCAGAAGAGGAGAGUGGAACUCCAUGUGUAGCGGUGGAAUGCGUAGAUAUAUGGAAGAACACCAGUGGCGAAGGCGGCUCUCUGGUCUGCAACUGACGCUGAGGCUCGAAAGCAUGGGUAGCGAACAGGAUUAGAUACCCUGGUAGUCCAUGCCGUAAACGAUGAGUGCUAAGUGUUGGGAGGUUUCCGCCUCUCAGUGCUGCAGCUAACG
rnacentral:rRNA from 1 species